rnacentral:rRNA from 1 species
GAUGAACGCUGGCGGCGUGCCUAAUACAUGCAAGUCGAGCGAACAGACGAGGAGCUUGCUCCUCUGACGUUAGCGGCGGACGGGUGAGUAACACGUGGAUAACCUACCUAUAAAACUGGGAUAACUUCGGGAAACCGGAGCUAAUACCGGAUAAUAUAUUGAACCGCAUUGUUCAAUAGUGAAAGACGGUUUUGCUGUCACUUAUAGAUGGAUCCGCGCCGCAUUAGCUAGUUGGUAAGGUAACGGCUUACCAAGGCAACGCUGCGUAGCCGACCUGAGAGGGUGCUCGGCCACACUGGACUUGAGCCACGGCCCAGCCUCGUCCGGAGGGCACAAGUAGGGAUUCUUCGGAAGUGGGCGAAGGCGUGCAGAGGCACGGCCGCGUGGGUGAUGAAGGGCUUCGGAUGGUAAACCUCUGUCAUUAGGGCAGAAAAGCUGUGUAAGCACCUCUGCACGUACUGACGGUACCUAAAAAGGAAGCAACGGCUAACUACGUG